CCCAGGAUAUGAAUGUGGCUAUGUAAAGGAGGUUCAAAGUGAUUCUCCCUUUUGUGAGGAGCCUGCAGAAAGGGGUCUUAAGUAAUUUGGAAGCUGUGUUCAAUCUCCAACCUCUACUCCUGCAAAAUGGAGCAGUUCUUGGAGAAGCCAGCUUGACCACCUCGGUGGACAGUUACAAUAACAGGUAGUAGAAAUGUUCUUCACUACUACUGUCUGGUCCCUGGAUGCUUGUGACCUUUAGGUCAGCCAUGAGGCUGGUUAUAGAAUUCACUUGUACCUGUGUUAAACUCUUAUUUAGGUCAAGUGGGUGUUGAUCUUAAAAAAUAUGUUCCUGAGGCUAUGAGGUCAAUAUUAGAUUCAGGUUCUUAAUGUUUAUAUUUGUGGUCUUGUCUCUAGCUGGCAAUGUGGCCUCUUUUAAUUUUUUU